rnacentral:snRNA from 1 species
GUGCUCAUUUCGGCAGCACAUAUUCUAAAAUUAGAACAAUA